UACGAAGGGGGCUAGCGUUGCUCGGAAUCACUGGGCUUAAAGGGCGCGUAGGCGGUCCAACAAGUCAGGGGUGAAAUCCUGCAGCUCAACUGCAGAAGUGCCUCUGAUACUGUCGGUCUUGAGGGGGAUAGGGGUGUGCGGAACUUCCAGUGGAGCGGUGAAAUGCGUUGGUAUUGGAAGGAACGCCGGUGGCGAAAGCGGCGCACUGGAUCUCUUCUGACGCUGAGGCGCGAAAGCUAGGGGAGCAAACGGG
rnacentral:rRNA from 1 species